rnacentral:pre_miRNA from 1 species
CGGAGGAGGUCAGAUACUGGGCUGUGUCCCCGGUGCCCUGUGCUCCAGGGCAUGUGCUGUUGGAUUCGCGCUCCCAGCCGGGAAGCCCCCU